UACGUAGGGUCCGAGCGUUGUCCGGAAUUACUGGGCGUAAAGAGCUCGUAGGUGGUUUGUCGCGUUGUUCGUGAAAACUCACAGCUCAACUGUGGGCGUGCGGGCGAUACGGGGCAGACUAGAGUACUGCAGGGGAGACUGGAAUUCCUGGUGUAGCGGUGGAAUGCGCAGAUAUCAGGAGGAACACCGGUGGCGAAGGCGGUUCUCUGGGCAUUACCUGACGCUGAGGAGCGAAAGUGUGGGGAGCGAACAGG
rnacentral:rRNA from 1 species